rnacentral:tRNA from 2 species
UGCGGGAUCAUCUAGUGGUAGGAUGCAGCACUCUGGAUGCUGUCACCUAGGUUCGAAUCCUAGUCCCGCAG